GAAAGUUUAGUAUCGCAAUAGCAAAUCCGACCAAAGUUGGGGUAUUUUUCAAACCCUUAUCCCUUUUUUUUACUACAAAUCACAAAACUAUUUAAGGAGAACAAAUUAGUGACUAAUAUGAUUAAUUUUGAGAUAAUUUAAAGGGAAAGAAAAGUAAUAUAAUUUCCUGCACAAGAAAAUAAUUUCAUAUUUUUUGAAGUCAAUGACCGACUCAUUGAUGAGAACAAACGAGCAAUAAUAUUUAAAUGUUUUAUUUCUAAUUGCACAAGUUCAUGGUGAACAUGUUGUGUCUUUAAACCUUCAAUUGAUAGGGUUAAUAUUGUUCUAUAUUGGUUGGUAAAUUUUUGAAUAUGUAUUGACAUAGUGUAUUGAUGACAUGGUGUAUUUGAUGCGGAUUAUAUGCCUGAUCAGAUCCAUCACAAAUUAAAAAAAAAAAACACCAAACUUCAAUAUAAUAGAUGAUGUUUACAGGCCCCUGAGGGAGAUUCAGCAAGAAGGAUGGAAGAAUCUGAGCUCUAUUUUAGAAUCUCCCGCAGAGAAGAAGCCCAGGGACGGAAAUAGGCUCCUAAAGAACGCACUGUCAUUGUCUUUCCCAGAUUGUUCUACUCAACUUGUUGUUUUGCCUUUCUGCAGGUUGUUUACAAAGGAAAGGUUAGCCAAAUGAUGGCGUUUGGAGGAGGAGAAGUGUGCACUAUGCAGCAAAGAUAAUGAAUUCAUAGACAAGCUCAAGGAUGGAUCUGGGAUGAAUUAGGCAAUUAUAAACUUCAAAGAUCGAAGUUUACAUGCUGAAGUUUUUAGAAUGACAUUAGUUGCGGGAGUUAAUAUUGAGAAAAAGGAAUUAGAGGAUCUUCCAAACAGAGAACAGAACAGAAGGCUUCAAGUCCUCAUUAUGUUGUUAAUUCAAGAUCCUCAUACUAGAGGAGUUAGUGAAAGCAACAUUAUUUAGAAUGUUAUUGGUUAUUUGGUCAUAUUUCAUUGUUAAAUUUGAAAAAAAAAUAAAAAAAUUUGAUUUCAAAGUGAAAAAUGAUAUAUGAAAAUUGGAAUUGUGUUUGAUCAUGAAUAUAAAUUGGAGUUUAUUCAUAAAUUAAAGUUAU